rnacentral:RNase_P_RNA from 1 species
CAAGCAGAUCGCCUUAUCGAUUCUAACUUUGGUUAGGGUAGGAAAGUCCGAACACCAUAGUGCAAUCAUAGUGGUUAACAACCACCAGUCGUAAGACUAGGAAAAGUGCAACAGAAAGUAUGUACAGGUAAUGCUGUAGUGAAACCAGGUAAACUCUAUGUGGUGCAAUGUCAUGUAUACUAACGCUUGAGCGUACACGCGCGAUUGUUAGAGGGUAGGCAGCUAAAGUUUGCUGGCAACAGUAAACGUAGAUAAAUGAUAAGGACUUUUCUUUUUAAGAAUUUAUUUCCUAAAAAGAAAAUGUACAGAAUUCGGCUUAUAGAUCUGCUUUUUUC